AGGGGCGUAGCUCAGUGGUAGAGCAGCGGUCUCCAAAACCGCGUGGGAGGGUUCGAUUCCCUCCGCCCCUG
rnacentral:tRNA from 1 species